rnacentral:rRNA from 1 species
GAUGAACGCUGGCGGCGUGCCUAAUACAUGCAAGUCGAGCGAACGGACGAGAAGCUUGCUUCUCUGAUGUUAGCGGCGGAUGGGUGAGUAACACGUGGAUAACCUACCUAUAAGACUGGGAUAACUUCGGGAAACCGUAGCUAAUACCGGAUAAUAUUUUGAACCGCAUGGUUCAAAAGUGAAAGACGGUCUUGCUGUCACUUAUAGAUGGAUCCGCGCUGCAUUAGCUAGUUGGUAAGGUAACGGCUUACCAAGGCAACGAUGCAUAGCCGACCUGAGAGGGUGAUCGGCCACACGGGAACUGAGACACGGUCCAGACUCCUACGGGAGGCAGCAGUAGGGAAUCUUCCGCAAUGGGCGAAAGCCUGACGGAGCAACGCCGCGUGAGUGAUGAAGGUCUUCGGAUCGUAAAACUCUGUUAUUAGGGAAGAACAUAUGUGUAAGUAACUGUGCACAUCUUGACGGUACCUAAUCAGAAAGCCACGGCUAACUACGUG